ACGGCCGUACCAUGCUGAAUAUACCGGUUCUCGUUAGAUCACCGAAGUCAAGCAUCAUUGGGCGCGGUCAGUACCCAGGUGGGUGACCACCUGGGAACACCGCGUGCCGUU
rnacentral:rRNA from 1 species